GAUGAACGCUGGCGGCGUGCCUAAUACAUGCAAGUCGAACGAACGGACGAUAAGCUUUCUCUUCUGAUGUUAGCGGCUGACGGGCGAGUAACACGUGCAUCACCUACUUCUAUUACUUGGAUAACUUCGUGAAACCGGUUCUAAUACUACAUAAUAUUUUGUACCGCAUGGUUCAGAAGUUAUUGACGGUCUUGCUGUCACUUUUAGAUGAUUCCGCGCUGGAUUAGCUAGUUGGUAAGGUAACGGCUUGCCAAGGCAACGAUGCAUAGCCGACCUGAGAGGGUGAUCGGCCACACUGGAACUGAGACACGGUCCAGACUCCUACGGGAGGCAGCAGUAGGGAAUCUUCCGCAAUGGGCGAAAGCCUGACGGAGCAACGCCGCGUGAGUGAUGAAGGUCUUCGGAUCGUAAAACUCUGUUAUUAGGGAAGAAAAGAUGUGUAAGUAACUGUGGACAUCUUGACGGUACCUAAUCAGAAAGCAACGGCUAACUACGUG
rnacentral:rRNA from 1 species